rnacentral:rRNA from 1 species
GAUGAACGCUGGCGGCGUGCCUAAUACAUGCAAGUCGAGCGAAAGGACCAGGACCUUUCUCCUCUGAUGUCAGCGGCGGACGGGAGAGUAACUUGGGGUUAACCUACCUAUCAGACUGGGAUAAUAUUGGGAGACCGGAGCUUAUGACGGAAAAUAUUUUGACUUGGAUUGGUCACACGUUGAAGUAGGUCUUUGUUUGGCUUAAAGACUGCUACGCGCUGCAUUAGCUAGUUGGGUAGGGGACGGAUUACCAAGGCUACGAUGCAUAACCGACCUGAGAGGGUGAACCGCCACACUGGAACAGAGGCACGGUCCAGACUCCUACGGGGGGCAACAGUAGAGAAUCUUCCGCAAUGGGCGAAAGCCUGACGGAGCAACGCCGCGUGAGUGAUGAAGGUCUUCUGAUCGUAAAACUCUGUUAUUAGGGAAGAACAUAUGUGUAAGUAACUGUGCACAUAUUGACGGUACCGAAUCAGAAAGCCACGGCUAACUACGUG